CUUUCCGGCGUUGGAGUUGCAGCUUCACCCUCGCAGAUUCGGCUUAGCGAGCGAGUCGGUGCUUCCGCGGAUCAAAAUUAUUAGCCGUUUUAUUAGAGCCCAUUAAACGUUGCAUAAACAUGGUUCAGAGCUGCCUGGGAGAAGAAAAGCCAAAGGAUGCCACCCUCUCGAUUUAUCCCACCCUCGGGAGUCUGAAAGCCGACGCCAGGAGAAAUCCCGCGAAGGCCGCCCGGGAUCCUGGUAGAGGCGACGCUGUGUGCGUUUAUGGAGCGCUUGCGGUGCGUGGCACUAGGCUGGGUGUGGUGGGUGCUGCCGAAAAAAGGGUUCCUCCCAUCCAUUUGCACGUCACCCUUCCCACCUCCUGCCCAGAUGGACAGAAGUGAGGACAUUCAUCGGCCGCAUUUUACUAAUGGCAAGGAGAUAGCGACUGAAGGGCAAGAACCUAGGGUUUCCUGUCUUUGAUAUUUCUCAUCUUUGAGAGAAGCCAGUAUUUGGAGAUGUUUACCCUGCUGUUUUGGAAGUUGUCCACUUUACUUGAUAUUGGGACAUAUCAAGAGACCACUAUAUGGUCUUGAGUGUAAACUACAGGUAUAUUCCUUCCUGCCAUCAUCGUGUAGCAAUAACGCUAUUUCCUCCUGAUGAUUGGAUUCAUUUACCCCAACUAACAUGGUGACUCUUCCUUGCCUGCUGGUCUCCUAGCACAAGGACCUUGAACCGGGAAACCUCAGCAAGUUAAAGUUUAAAGGAUCUAUUAUUGUGUCUCUUGAUGAAAAGGUUCCUCUCUUGGGAAUCAGGACUUCUAAUUCACAAAGUUGCGGGGAUGAGAAGUCCAAACUCCCCACUUGGGUCACUGGGAGUGAGAGUAUGUGGUUAUAUUAAUUUCCUAUCACUGCUAUGACACUACGAACUUAGUGGUUUCAAACAACACAAAUUUAUUUUCUUACAGUUCUGGAAGCCUAAAAUCAAGAUAUCAACUGGACUGUUUUUCCUGAAGUCUUCAAGAAAAAGUCUGUUUCCUUGCCUUUUUCAAUUUCUAGAGGCUACCUACAUUUCUUGGCUCAUGGCCCCUUACUCAUAUCACCCCAUCCUCCUGCUUAAGUCAUUGCAUCUACUAGGCAAAUCUGCCUCUCUCUUGUAAGAAUCUUUAUGAUUAUAUUGGGCCUAUUGGAUAGUCCAGGAUAAUCUCUGUAUCUUGAGAUCAUUAACUUAGUCAUAUCCACAAAGUCUCUUUUAUCUUGAAGGUAAAAUAUUCAUAGAAUCCAGGAUUAGGAUCUGAACAUAUUUGGGGGCCAUUAUUCAGCCUACUACACAGUAGGAAUUCUAUUUAUAUCCUUUCAUUCCCAAACAUGCAUGUUAUGUAUAUAUGAGACACAGCACCAUAAAAUGAGUGUUGAUUUAGAGUAUAUACUGUACCCUGGUGGACAAGGUCAUUCCAUUUUCACAGGCUAUUAUCUUCAAGCUUUUGCUUCAGUUUCACCUUCAAAAGGGUUUUUCAUCAUUCCAUCAGACCCGCAUUUUCUCGGUUAUAUAGUAUGUGAUAGGACUAGUGGAUCUCAUGGUUAUGUACCUGCUGAUACACCUCCUUUGCUGUAAAGUGCAUCCCUAAAUCAAAGGCAAUAUUACACAGGAUACAUGUUGAUGGAUCAAAUACCUGUAAACCUGUGAGUAGUAGAGCUGGCCAACAACUUAUAGGCAAGGAAGUCAAACUCAUACAUGCAGAUGGGCAGUUUCUAGUCAAGGAGAAUCACUGCCCAUUCUAGGAUGGAAGGAAUCCAACAUAAAUCAAUUUGCUGCCCAAGUAGCUGUUUGGUAUCCUUGAGGGUUGGUGCUGUAUCAGGAACUUGGUGUUUAACACUGGGGAGUGGCUAUUUUGUUGUUGUUGUUGUUGUUGUUUUGUUUUGUUUGAGACGGAGUUUCACUGGUUGCCCAGGCUGGAGUGCCGUGGCGCCAUCUCGGCUCACUGCAACCUCUGCCUCCUGGGUUCAAGGGAUUCUCCUGCCUCAGCCUCGUGAGUAGCUGGGAUUACAGGCAUGCGCCACCACGGCCAGCUAAUUUUGUAUUUUUAGUAGAGACGGGGUUUCUCCAUGUUGGUCAGGCUGGUCUCAAACUCCAGACCUCAGGUGAUCCGCCCACCUCAGCCUCCCAAAGUGCUGGGAUUACAGACAGGAGCCACCGCGCCCAGCCUGGGGAGUGGCUAUUGGAUAAGUGGAGGCUAUCUAUUGGCUUCUUGCUCACUUGCAUUCCUGCAAGAUGACUACUUUGUCAUAAGCCCCCUGUGCCAUUCCUGGGGGCGGAGGGAGGGGGCGGUGGAGCCGAUGGUUGUAGCUGCUGAAGUUUACUGGCUAAAUCUGUCUACUUGGUUAUUUAAUGCUGCUUACAUGUUGGAUUGUCUCUGGCAGAUAAAGAUUGUGUUAUACAAUACAAAAAGCCCUCCUUAUGUGCCAUAUCUGAUAUAUUUCUCCUCUGCUUCUCCAGACUUCUUGUCCCUGAUAUACCAGUCUUAUUCCAGACCCCUGAUCAACUAGCCAACUUAUUUGCCAUGAAAAUAUGUUCUUAGUUCAAGACACUUUCUUUCCACACACAGUUGAUGACCAGGAAUACUGCCCCACAUUAUGCCUUUUGGGAGGGUUCUCCUUACUGCUGUCUUUUAAGGCCAGUCCUGUGUGGGGCUGUAGGGCAGUAGCAGUCCAUUUUUGUUUUGAACCUAUAUUCCAAGAAACCUCAGU